GAUGAAGAACGUAGCGAAAUGCGAUAAGUAAUGUGAAUUGCAGAAUUCCGUGAAUCAUCGAAUUUUUGAACGCACAUUGCGCCCCCUGGUAUUCCGGGGGGCAUGCCUGUCCGAGCGUCAUUACAACCCUCAAGCUCAGCUUGGUGUUGGGCCCCGCCGCCCCGGCGGGCCCUAAAGUCAGUGGCGGUGCCGUCCGGCUCCGAGCGUAGUAAUUCUUCUCGCUCUGGAGGUCCGGUCGUGUGCUCGCCAGCAACCCCCAAUUUUUUUCAGGUUGACCUCGGAUCAGGUAGGGAUACCCGCUGAACUUAAGCAUAUCAAUAAGCGGAGGA
rnacentral:misc_RNA from 1 species